AAAAAACAAAAGAAAAGAAGAGUUGACAAGUCAAAAAGAAUAAAAAAAGAAGAAGAAGAAGUGGACUUCAGCUAUAUAAACGAAAAACAGCUUAGAGAGAGAGAGAAGAUCGAGAGCUUACAGGACAAUCGGGAAAGAAAGAGAGGAAAGAAAGAAGAGAAGAAGAAGAAGAAAGAGAUGCAAGAAGAAGAAGAAGAAAGAGAUGCGUACUCGCCACGUGAGUCUCGCCAAGCCGGAGUUACUUCGUAUCGCAACAUCCGGUUAGUAGCCUAUAGAGUGAGAGCGUUGUCGUGGGGACUUUUGGGUGGUUUGAGGCUGCGCCUUUCGGGUGGAAGGACGGUCGUGUCAUUCCCAUCCUGGUAGAUUUCGGGGUGUGACAUAUAGUAUGUACAAAAAUAGGUGGUAAGAAUGAUUAAUUUUGUAGUCAAAUAUGAUAACAUGUCUUAAUGCAAUUUAGGACAGGAAAUUAAAAAAAAAAAAAGAAAUUGACUAGAGAGAGGGGCGACGAAUGUGGAUGGCCGGCAGCGAAGCAACAAUGCUGCUAUCGCCCAAAAGCAACCCCAUAUCGCGUUGCCAAGGUGCGAGCACGGUUCGGCUCGCAUGAAAAAUUGAAACCCACUGCAAUAAUAUGAUUUUUCUCACCUACUCGCGUCUCUUUCUUUCAGUUUUCUUCUUCCCCUUUUGGAGUCUUUCCCUCUCUGCCUUUCCUUGUUUUUCCUCACCUACUUAUAUCUCCCCUACUAUAAAAAUAAAAAUUCGAAUUAUACUAUACAAAGAUUAAUUCAGUUUGCAGUUUAGUUUGGUUCGGGAAAAAAUCUACCCCGAACCAAACCAUUAAAUUUCAACAUGGUGCGGUGGACAUAAUUUUUAAAUCACCUCUCCAAAUCAUAUUACGGCGAUUUGAACCGAAUUAUGCUCAGCUUAGGUUUAAAAACCAAAAUAUCGUUAGGUAAUUUGCCACCACCUAAAAAAAACUUAGGUGGCACAUUUUGGCCACCAUGCUUUAAUUUCUCAAUAAAAUGAUAUGGAGAUACAUUAUUGUUCUCAAUGCAUAUCAUAUUCAAACGUACAGACAAAAAUUCUAUGCAUUCAAUGGGCUCUAAAAAUGUAACAUAUAUCGAUAAAAACGACAAAAAAACCACCUAUAAUAUAUGUCAAAUUGCAACGUGAUGCAUUUCAUGUUGAAUUAUUAGUGGUGAACCAAAUAUGUAGUAUCGCUAUGGGAAAGAAAAGAAGUUAGUAUAGUUUAGAGUUAUAUCUUGAAUCAAAUGAAUAAAAAAUUGAUGUGUACAUAUAACUCGUGACGUGAUUGUGAUUUUAAAAGGGCUCGUUAGAUUUUUCGUUUAAGAAAAGUACUUUCGGUUGUUCCUCGGAAAUAUCAAAAUGCAAGGCGAUACACACCGUGGGUUUGAGAAAUCAGGACAAAAAAAUUCUAGAUGACUUUAUGUAUGUCGAAUUUGUAUAUGUUUUAAAUGAUUUUCGUUGUAAAACUCAUAUCAAAAGUGAACUUUUGGAAAUGCUAAGAGAAAAGAAAAUUUUGAAAAAUAAAAGUCGCUCUUUCAAUUCCACGUUUUAAAUUUGAAGUGUAAUUAGGUGGAAUGUUAGAUAUGGAGAUUGUCGGAUUUCGUAGCUAGCACGUGUUAUAUUAUUAAACUAUGUAACUUUUCCAAUGGGCCCCCACAAAUUGUGUUAUUACUACAUGUUUGUUUUUUUUUUGUGGUCGGAAUGUUACUAUUACAUUUCAAGAGGGGAAAAAGUAACAAAAUUUAGAAUGAUAAUUAAUUAAAAGAAACUAAAAUUAGGGAAAGGACCACACGGGCAACGAAGCGGCGGAACGGAUGCAACAUAAAGGCAAAGACCGGACCUGUGUUCGAAUCGCCGCCCUCGUGCAUUCUCUCGGAGCGCCUCGAGGAGGAGGACGGAAUUAGAUCCUCUAACAAUUAGUCGGGCCGACUUGGGACGGGUGAUUGUUGCACCUGAUGGGAGAUUGAUCGAACGUUCAAAGAGAAGUCAGCCAGCUUGGGAUAGGUGAUUGUUGCACCCCGGUGGGAGAUUGAUCAAUCGUUCAACGAGAUCGGACACUCUGUUAAAAUUAGCUUGGGCUCAUUCUUAACAUUGUCAAAACGGGAAAAUUAUUCAAAAAGUCCUAAGCCUUUUGGACGUUAGCCAAUCCAGUUCUAAUCCUUUAAAUUGUGCCAAUUUAAUUUUAAACAUUUUGACGAUUUGUUAAUGUAGUCCUUUUGGCCAAUUA